UGCGUGCUAGCUCAGUGGUUAGAGCGCCUGGUUGUGGCCCAGGAGAGCCGAGUUCAAUUCUCGGGCAUAAGCC
rnacentral:tRNA from 1 species